AUGGAGCUGGCGUUGAUGCACGCCGUCCUCAUCAAGGUGGGCGAGGUGCCGCCCAACCAGCUUCACGCGAAGGUCAAGGUGUGGGCGGGCAAGGUGCGCGACCUGUGCUAUGGCAUGGAGGACGCCGUUGAUGCCUUCAUGGUGCGCGUAGAGGACGGCCAUGACCUCGAGCAGCCGACCAACAUGAAGAACAGAGUCAAGAAGUUCGUCAAGAAGGUCUCCAAGCUGUUCCGUAGUGGCAAGGCUCUUCAUCAGAUCUCCAACGCCAUCCAAGAAGCUCAAGAUCUCGCCAAGGAGUUGACCGAUCUCCGUGAAAGGUACAAGCUCGAUAUCCAUAGCUCAAGCUCGAUAUUCCCUCCGUCCGAAAAUACUUGUCAUCAAAAUGGACAAAAAGGGAUGUAUCUAGAACUAAAAUACAUCUAG
rnacentral:rRNA from 1 species